UUCACACAUAAUUCUCAUCGAAAUCCUAUUAUUCAUCACUCAUCACUCUUCAAUCUUCAAAAACCCCAUUACCCUUCUUCCAUCAAUCAAUUCAUUGAAACUUAAUUUAGAAGAAUCAUGUAAACCCCUUUUCGAGACGUAAGCAGUUUCAGCAGGCGCGGUUCGUCAUUCAAUGAUAAGUCUCCGGCGACGGAAGGAGAUGUGGAAUCUGUAACCGAUAGUGGCGGAGAUGAGGACGACGGCGGCGGAGCGCCACCGAUAGUUUCAGCCACCGGUGGUAUAUUCGCCGGGGAAAAGGAAGUCGUAUCUACAUCGUGUGAAGAUCUACAAGAAGUGCUUCCGUGUCGGAUGACGGUUGAAAAACAGUCGUCGUAGGAAAAAUUUACGGGUCAGUGUUACGAAUAUAUUUAUGAUGUGUUUUGUUCGGUUGCUUGUGGCGGCAGUGACCGCCGUUGUGCCGGUUGGCGGUUGAGGACAGUCGUCGGAGAAAAACAAAACAUAUAAAUCAAUUGUUCGUAUAAUCAAUUUUCUUUUAUCAACCCCCUCUAUUACCAGUUAGUGGAUUAUAUACAAUAUAUAGAUCAAUCAUGUACUUAGAGGAACAGGUACAUUAUAAUGUUAGAGACACGAAUCAAUUGAUUGGAGUUGUAAACGGUUCCUUUAAAUUUAUGGGUUCAAAUUGAAUAAUGUAAAGUAUAUUAUGUAAUUUGUGUUCCUCUAAGUUUUGUAAGCUAUGCAGUUUUAUCGUAUGUAUAAAUCAAUUGAACAGGUA